rnacentral:rRNA from 1 species
CACGGAGUUAGCCGAUCCUUAUUCUUACGGUACCGUCAAGCUCCUUCACGAAGGAGUGUUUCUUCCCGUACAAAAGCAGUUUACAGUCCAUAGGACCGUCAUCCUGCACGCGGCAUGGCUGGUUCAGGCUUGCGCCCAUUGACCAAUAUUCCUCA